GACGAACGCUGGCGGCGUGCUUAACACAUGCAAGUCGAACGGAAAGGCCCUGCUUGCAGGGUGCUCGAGUGGCGAACGGGUGAGUAACACGUGGGUGAUCUGCCCCUUACUUUGGGAUAAGCCUGGGAAACUGGGUCUAAUACUGGAUAGGACCAUGCUGUAGGUGGUGUGGUGGAAAGAUUAGUUUCGGUAAGGGAUGAGCUCGCGGCCUAUCAGCUUGUUGGUGGGGUAAUGGCCUACCAAGGCGUCGACGGGUAGCCGGCCUGAGAGGGUGGACGGCCACAUUGGGACUGAGAUACGGCCCAGACUCCUACGGGAGGCAGCAGUGGGGAAUAUUGCACAAUGGGCGCAAGCCUGAUGCAGCGACGCCGCGUGGGGGAUGACGGCCUUCGGGUUGUAAACUCCUUUCAGCCAUGACGGAGCCCUUGUGGUGACGGUAGUGGUAGAAGAAGCACCGGCUAACUACGUG
rnacentral:rRNA from 1 species